UGCGGUAGAUAAAGAAGUACU
rnacentral:piRNA from 1 species